AUUGAACGCUGGCGGCAUGCCUUACACAUGCAAGUCGAACGGCAGCACGGGGCAACCUGGUGGCGAGUGGCGAACGGGUGAGUAAUGCAUCGGGACGUACCUUUCAGUGGGGGAUAACGUAGCGAAAGUUACGCUAAUACCGCAUAUUCUGUGAGCAGGAAAGCAGGGGAUCGCAAGACCUUGCGCUGAUUGAGCGGCCGAUGUCAGAUUAGCUAGUUGGUGAGGUAAAGGCUCACCAAGGCGACGAUCUGUAGCGGGUCUGAGAGGAUGAUCCGCCACACUGGAACUGAGACACGGUCCAGACUCCUACGGGAGGCAGCAGUGGGGAAUUUUGGACAAUGGGGGCAACCCUGAUCCAGCCAUGCCGCGUGAGUGGAGAAGGCCUUCGGGUUGUAAAGCUCUUUCGGCCGGGAAGAAAUCGCACGGGCUAAUACCCUGUGUGGAUGACGGUACCGGAAUAAGAAGCACCGGCUAACUACGUGCCAGCCGCCGCCGUAAAAC
rnacentral:rRNA from 1 species